rnacentral:lncRNA from 1 species
UUCAUUAUGGUGAAGUGAAAUGCAGAGCAACAUUUACUUGCAAAAGCAGAUAUCUAUUAUCUAUCUAUCUAUCUAUCUAUCUAUCUAUCUAUCUAUCUAUCUAUCUGUAGUUCCUUCCCCUGAAUGGUGGAAAAAGUCACUUUGCUCCACAACUCCCUGGUAAGUAUUGUGUCCCUCUGAAAACCAUGCCCAGACUAAGUCACUUAGAGCCAAGUAUUUCCCUUCUAUGCAAAUGAGGUUCUAACGAAGCCAAGAACAGCUCCGUGUUUCCAAAGACAGAGACUAAGGAUGCCUGUUGGCACUUGCCCUCUGUGUGACCUCAGAGCUGUAAGGAUGCCACAGAAGCCAUGUGUAGUGGGACAAGAGGGUUCAGGCAGCCUGGAGAUGGGGUUAGGGCAGGCAGAGAGCCCCAGUGGGGUUUCACAGCUCUCCCUGGGCUCGACUGUUCGUUUCAUUGCUCCAUGCUUGGCCUCUCCUCCGUCCUCCCCACAACUCCUCGCAGUCGGGGGUCACUGAAGCUCGAGCUGCCGAGCCUCCCCAAGACCCUAUCCCUCAUUCCCAACCCGGGUUUUUGCUCUACAGCGUUCAGUUGCAGCCCUGUUGGUGCAGGCAGGAGUGCUACCAGUGGUUUCAGCAGCAAAUGGGGAGGGGUGAGGACAUCACAUAAACACAUGGGGCUAAAUCUUCCCUCCUUGCAACGCAGUGCCAGCCCCUGUGGGGAUGACCUGCCCUGCAUCCGCUGAAAAUCCCAGCCUGAUUUGCUUGGGGCUUCUUUUCUCCCAAGAAAACAACAUCAUCUUUCAAGAAAGCAAAUCCAUCGGAAAGAGGAAAAAAAAAAAAUCACUAUUUUUUUUCAGAUUAUUUGAAACUGGCACCUUUUUUAUGAUAUUUCAUUGGUAUUUUGUGUUGAAAUUAUUGUUAUUUUUGGAAACCAUCAGAAAUAUGGCUUUUGGUAGGAAAAUGUAGUGUCUGGCCAAUAAUCAGGAUUUCAAGAUUUCAAGCAGCAUGCUGAAAAAUCACCUCUAAUUUAAAAUGAAAUAUGAAAAUAUAAUUAGUGAUAAUUUAGUUUCAUAAUUUUUCAUUUUAAAAGAGCUUUUAAAAAUCCUCUUUUGUCUAUGAAGCAACACAAAUUUUUAGCUCAUUGUAGAACCAUGCAGGCUGAGGUUUGGGUGUUUUGCCAUCCUCGGCCCAUGGCAAGCAGUAGCAAAGGGACUUCUGAACAGCGGGGUCUGUCUGGGACUUCUGGCUCAGUGGUCUCUGAUGGACACAUCCUUUAUGGCUCUGUCUCAUAUAAAGCACUGUGGGUAAGUAAUCCUUAGUCUUUUACUGUGUCAGCUAUGGAUAGAAAAGUCCUCUGUGGAAGAAGUGGAUGUUCAACCAAAAUGGCCAGGCCUGGGAUUUUAGGACGUACAAUAAACUACCUAUGGUCAGGGCA